GCAGGGAGGGCGGUGCGGGCGGGCGGUGUCCCGGAGAUCCCGGUCCCGAUUUCGGUCUUGCUCCCGCCACCGCCCUUGCCGGCCGCGGUGGAGGCGCCUCGCCGUCCCAUUGCGCACGCCAGGAGGCUCCCCCCGUGCUGCCCAUCUCCUGGCUCGCUCUGCGGCCGGGGCGGGAGCUGCGCCCAGGGCUGUCUAUCAUCGUCACCCGGGGGGCGGGACGGAGCUGACCCCCCGCCCGGCCUCUGUUCGUGGAGAUCCUACUACAAGUCGGAUCGGAGACCCGCAGCAGUCGCUGCUGCCCGGGCUCAGGGCAUUGGCAGCGGGAGAAGGGCUGGACGGCGGUGCUGGAGGGCUCUCCUUGGGGGGGUGGGGGGGGGUGUCACUCCUGUGGGCUCCCGUCUGUGCUGCUCUGCCACAGCUCUUUGCAUAAUCUGAUUUUCCUGCACUGGCAGUGUACGUGCUGGGGUAUAUUUUAAGUGAGAGCACUUUUGUAUUCUACGUUUUCCUCUCCUGACCUGGAAUAACCUCUGUCCUCUGCACCAGGUGAUUUGCGGUGUCUGUGUAAGUGAAAAUAAACAAGUAGCACUCACUAGAAUGAUUGUGUGCAAUCAAAUUACACAACUUGCGGAAACACACUUCAUAAAGCUGUUAUUCCUGCUCUAGUAUUUCAGACUUAAUAGAUCCUCAAGAUAAACCUACAAACUGUUUAUCCAAAGACAAACCUAUAAAAUCCAUAAUCCCAGUGGUUAUGUAAAACCAAGGAUUUAACAGAGAAACUGAUUUUAUAGGUCAUUAUAAUCUCCAUCUCUUGCUGCACAUUCCAAAAACAUGGGAGUCCCUUUCUCUGUCCCUUUACACCCCUCCUUUCUGAUGAUGCUAAAGAAUACUUAUGUCACCUCUGCUCCAUUGGUAGAACCUGAUUUUUCCUUCAGAGAUAACCUGAUAUGCAAACAAUUAAAUUACUGAACAAUUGUUUACAGUUUGUAUUUACCUUUGAAAUCUGCUGCUUUACUUUUAGACCUUGAGAAUGGUUCUGCAUCUAAAAGCCUGCCUAUCUUCUUUUACUAAAAUAUACAGUGUCAUGCAUGUACUACCUCUGUGUAUAACCUUUACCUUCUGGUAUGUUUUCAUGCAUCCUCAACUUGGAAAACAGCUAACUGGAGGAAAACAAAUCAAAAAACCCCAGGACAACAUGAUAUCAGCUUCCAACUUUAUCCAGCAUCAAGAAUGUUGUUAAAGCAAGCAAACAAACUUUGGGGGUUUGCUUAAAGGGAAGAACAGAAGGCAGCAGGAGUGUCCUUACACUGUGAGGCAAGUGCAGAAGGCAACAAACCUCUUGGCUUUGUAGGAAUUUGCUGAUAACAGAACCAUGUGUUGAUUUUUGAGUAGGAAAGAUUAGCCUACCAAAAGUAAGGAUGGGAAAAGCUGCAGCCUAUACUUUUUGCCCUCUAAAUUCAAUUUUCAUUCACAAACUGUGGGCUCCUAAUGUCAUGCAACCUCACCUUGCUUUACUGUGUUUUCCCUGGAAGUCAGUAUUUUUUACUGUAUGAUUUUGCAAGACCAUUUGUGUUCCAGAGGGUUUAUUGUAUGAAGUAGACACAUGCACCUGGUAAAGGUUUCUUUUUCCUGCAGUUCUUCAGAACUAACUUAGGACGUCACAGCAUGAAGUGGAACAUUGCUGUUUCUGUUUUACUAGUUGUUGUUUUGCAUGAUCUAAGCAUAUGUUUAUCCUAAAAUACAUGUCUUAAUGCCAUAUGCCACAAAGAUUGCAAGAACAUCAAGUUUAAGCAACGGACAUGUGUUCAGCUGUAAACAUGGACAUAUUGACUAUCUGUGUUGAUGU